GUCAGGGUAGCUCAGUGGCAGAGCAGCAGUAUCAUAAACUGCGGGUCGUGGGUCCGAUCCCCACCCUUGACA
rnacentral:tRNA from 1 species